AACCAGCACAGACUGGCGUGCCCAGGCAUCUCUGAGCGAGCAUCUCUUUGAGCGGCUCACUCUCAGGCACGACUAGGAGG
rnacentral:pre_miRNA from 1 species